rfam:Gossypium hirsutum cultivar TM-1 unplaced genomic scaffold scaffold712.1, whole genome shotgun sequence
UAUUAAAAAAUUCAUCUAUUUCUACUAUUAAAAACUGAUAUGACUGGUAAAAUAAUCAGGCAGUUAUACGUUACUUGCCUCGUGUAUCUCAUGCCAAUAUAUAUGAACUAGUUUUUAAUAGUACAAAUAGAUAAAAUUUUUAACA